AACCAGGGCCCACAAUUUUGCCACGUCGUUCCGACUCCGAGCGGCCUCCGGAAUCCGAGCCGCCGCCGCCGGAGUCCGUGCUGGUAGGCCCAUGGCUCUGCUCUCUGCUCCGACGGAUUCCAGGCGCUGCCCUCCCGUCGCCGUCGGGCCCCCGCUUCUCACCGGCGGCGGGGACGGCCUCUCGAUUCAUGGGGAGCCGAGCUGAGGUCAGCAAGAAGUCUUCAAAACUAUUACUCCACGUGUGGCAACACUAAUAUAUACUAGUGGAAGAAGUGGCACACCGAAAGGCGUAAUGCUGACCCACCAAAAUCUCUUGCAUCAGGAUCAACAGCGUCUUGGUGCCAUAAUUGUUCCCAACAAUGAUGAAGUUCUGGCAGAAGCAAAGAAGGAAAGUCCCUCGUUCAUGAGAAUGGCGAAGUAGCGAAAGAUAAGGUCAUGAACAUGUUGUCAGAUUCUUUAGCUUAGGAUCACUUCUGUUCUGUUAAGAACAGGAGAGAGACAUGAGAGAAGUGGUUUUGUGCAGUGAAGCUAACAAUGUAUAUUUCUAUGUUACACAAGCUUAGAUACACAGGAGGGUUAAAUGUCCUUUUAUAGGAAUUUUAGGUCGGUGCUACAGUACCACUACAGUAACCGACAUUAUGUUGGCCUGCGCUUUACAGCUAAAGCAAAA